rnacentral:lncRNA from 1 species
GAUUCCUUGCUUUCUGGAACUCAGUAAUCGGAUUAAUGUUUUGUUAUUACCAAACCGUGUUGUGUGGCACGAAAGGUAUAGGUUUUCUUUCCUUGUUACUUGGCAUGCUUGACACUAGUGCUGUUGGAACGGGUAAGACUGCAAAAAAUAAUCAGUGGCCGGCAACAAGAACAAAUACAAACAGGCCAAAUUUGAUCAUGUACAUUUGUCCAAUUAUUUUUCUAAAUGCAACCUUUCAUUUUUGCUUCUAGAUUGCAUACACUUCCAGUGAUAGUAGCUCAAA